AGGCGUGGAAGAAUACCCUCAAUGGAAGAAUAGGCGUGGAAGAAUACCCUCAAUGGAAGAAUAGGCGUGGAAGAAUACCCUCAAUGGAAGAAUAGGCGUGGAAGAAUACACUCAAUGGAAGAACAGGUGUGGAAGAAUACCCUCAAUUGAAGAAUAGGCGUGGAAGAAUACCCUCAAUGGAAGAAUAGGCGUGAAAGAAUACCCUCAAUGGAAGAAUAGGCGUGGAAGAAUAACCUCAAUGGAAGAAUACCCUCAAUGGAAUAAUAGGCGUGGAAGAAUACCCUCAAUGGAAGAAUAGGCGUGGAAGAAUGCCCUCAAUGGAAGAAUAGGCGUGGAAGAAUGCCCUCAAUGGAAGAAUAGGCGUGGAAUAAUACCCUCAAUGGAAGAAUAGGCGUGGAAGAAUACCAUCAAUGGAAGAAUAGGCGUGGAAGAAUGCCCUCAAUGGAAGAAUAGGUGUGGAAUAAUACACUCAAUGGAAGAAUAGGCGUGGAAUAAUACCCUCAAUGGAAGAAUAGGCGUGGAAGAAUACCCUCAAUGGAAGAAUAGGCGUGGAAUAAUACCCUCAAUGGUAUUGUAGAUACCCCUACCUGCAUUCUCCAUCAAAUAAACAGAGCAAGUGCACUUCUGUAAGGUCAAUUGUUAUUUGCAUUGUACUCAGUCCGUCCAUUAGAUUCACAACACCUCCUUGUGUUAAGCAAUUCUAAUCAGUAUCCGAGAUUUAAGGAAAUUUUAUGGUAAGGUGCAUUACAGUGGAAUGGAACAUAAC